AUGGACGUUACGUUCAGGGAGUCUGAGCCAUUCUAUGGUGAGCCGACUGAUCUCAGUCUGCUGUUUGUAGAGCUUGACCACCUACACCCUGUGCAUGAUGGUCAAGAGGGGGAGAAGGAUGUGUCUCAUACUCACGGGGAUUCUGUGGACAUUAACGCUGAUAAUGAUGUGCAGGUUCAGGUUCAACCAAUAGUGGGUACAAUUCCGGUUAGUACCAUCACUGAUGAUGAUGUGCAGGCUCAUGUCGAGCCAACUGUCGAUACACUUAAGAUUGGUGCUCUUCAGGUUCCUGUUCGGGAUCGAUGGCAAAACGAAUACCCUGGUGUACUCUCGACGGCAACCACAAGCGCAGGGGGAGCAGCAAGGCGGGGAGGCAAGAGUGCAGGGGGAGCAGCAAGGCAGUGA
rnacentral:rRNA from 1 species